rnacentral:rRNA from 1 species
UACGAAGGGGGCGAGCGUUGUUCGGAAUUACUGGGCGUAAAGGGCGCGUAGGCGGCCUUCUAAGUCGAACGUGAAAUCCCCGGGCUCAACCCGGGAACUGCGUCCGAUACUGGAAGGCUUGAAUCCGGGAGAGGGAUGCGGAAUUCCAGGUGUAGCGGUGAAAUGCGUAGAUAUCUGGAGGAACACCGGUGGCGAAGGCGGCAUCCUGGACCGGCAUUGACGCUGAGGCGCGAAAGCUAGGGGAGCGAACGGG